UACGAACUGUCCUAACGUUGUUCGGAAUCACUGGGCUUAAAGGGCGCGUAGGCGGUCCGACAAGUCGGGGGUGAAAUCCUGCAGCUUAACUGCAGAAGUGCCUUCGAUACUGUCGGUCUUGAGGGAGAUAGGGGUGUGCGGAACUCACAGUGGAGCGGUGAAAUGCGUUGAUAUUGUGAGGAACGCCGGAGGCGAAAGCGGCGCACUGGAUCUCUUCUGACGCUGAGGCGCGAAAGCUAGGGGAGCAAACGGG
rnacentral:rRNA from 1 species